rnacentral:tRNA from 1 species
CGGGCUGUAGUAUAUCGGUAGUAUGCAUGCUUUGGGAGCAUGAGGGCUGGGUUCGAUUCCCAGCAGCCCGA